UACGUAGGGUCCGAGCGUUGUCCGGAAUUACUGGGCGUAAAGCGCGCGCAGGCGGCUUCCCAAGCGCCACGUGAAAGCCCCGGGCUCAACCCGGGAGGGUCGCGGCGAACUGGGAGGCUUGAGGCCGGUAGAGGUGGGUGGAACUCCUGGUGGAGUGGUGAAAUGCGUAGAGAUCAGGAAGAACACCCGUGGCGAAGGCGGCCCACUGGGCCGGUGCUGACGCUGAGGCGCGAAGGCGUGGGGAGCGAACAGG
rnacentral:rRNA from 1 species